GAUGGAGCCCCAAUGUGUGUCCAGUCUUCUAAGCCUGAUGCUGGAAACAAAAAUGCUCUCCAGAAAGACAUUCAAGAUUUACUAGAGUGUGUAUUCCAAAAGCAGGAACAUGGAUGAAGUUCAGUGUUACUUCACUGGAACAGAGUUGUGAACUAUAAAAAAAUGAACGGUUAAGAGACUAUUGAAGCUGUAUACAGAACCACCCUGCCUGAAGCACAAACAAGCAAUGCACUACAAGGCUUCAAAUUCCUUUCACUAGAGGAUUAAUGAACCAAGGAGACAACCUGCUGUCAUGAAGACCUUAUUUCCUGCAGAAGUUUUGGGGGAAAUUAACACCGCAACAACAGAGGAGGAAUCCAGGGGAACCCCAACAAUGGUAUUACGUGCCAAGUGGCCGAAUCGAUCAGCGUCCCCUGAGGCCAGAGCUCUGCAAUGCAAU